rnacentral:rRNA from 1 species
AGUGAACGCUGGCGGUAGGCCUAACACAUGCAAGUCGAACGGCAGCACAGUAAGAGCUUGCUCUUACGGGUGGCGAGUGGCGGACGGGUGAGGAAUACAUCGGAAUCUACUUUUUCGUGGGGGAUAACGUAGGGAAACUUACGCUAAUACCGCAUACGACCUACGGGUGAAAGCAGGGGAUCUUCGGACCUUGCGCGAUUGAAUGAGCCGAUGUCGGAUUAGCUAGUUGACGGGGUAAAGGCCCACCAAGGCGACGAUCCGUAGCUGGUCUGAGAGGAUGAUCAGCCACACUGGAACUGAGACACGGUCCAGACUCCUACGGGAGGCAGCAGUGGGGAAUAUUGGACAAUGGGCGCAAGCCUGAUCCAGCCAUACCGCGUGGGUGAAGAAGGCCUUCGGGUUGUAAAGCCCUUUUGUUGGGAAAGAAAAGCAGCAGGUUAAUACCCCGCUGUUCUGACGGUACCCAAAGAAUAAGCGCCGGCUAACUUCGUG